rnacentral:lncRNA from 1 species
AUAUUUUGGUGUACUCAACUGUAGGUGUUGAACUGUAAAUGAUGUAAAGCAAGAAAUGUAAAUUAUAUUUUGGGUAUUGUAGGAAUGAUGUAAAUAAUGUAUUUUGGUUAAAGAAAAACGUGAUGUAAAUGAAUGGAUAAAUGAAUGUAAUAGAUUACUUGUGUUUGAUAUAAAUAAAAUCAAAUGACUUGUAUAUUGGAUGCUUAGUUCGAUGCUUU